rnacentral:rRNA from 1 species
CCUACGGGAGGCAGCAGUAGGGAAUAUUGCUCAAUGGGGGAAACCCUGAAGCAGCAACGCCGCGUGGAGGAUGAAGGUUUUCGGAUUGUAAACCCCUUUUGUUAGAGAAGAUAAUGACGGUAUCUAACGAAUAAGCACCGGCUAACUCCGUGCCAGCAGCCGCGGUAAUACGGAGGGUGCAAGCGUUACUCGGAAUCACUGGGCGUAAAGAGCGCGUAGGCGGGAUAGCAAGUCAGAUGUGAAAUCCUAUGGCUUAACCAUAGAACUGCAUUUGAAACUGUUAUUCUAGAGUAUGGGAGGGGUAGGUGGAAUUCUUGGUGUAGGGGUGAAAUGCGUAGAGAUCAAGAGGAACACUCAUUGCGAAGGCGACCUGCUAGAACAUAACUGACGCUGAUGCGCGAAAGCGUGGGGAGCAAACAGGAUUAGAUACCCCAGUAGUC